UACGAAGGGGGCUAGCGUUGCUCGGAAUUACUGGGCGUAAAGCGCACGUAGGCGGCUUUUUAAGUCGGAGGUGAAAUCCUGGAGCUCAACUCCAGAACUGCCUUCGAUACUGAAGAGCUCGAGUCCGGGAGAGGUGAGUGGAACUGCGAGUGUAGAGGUGAAAUUCGUAGAUAUUCGCAAGAACACCAGUGGCGAAGGCGGCCUUCUGGACAGUGACUGACGCUGAGACGCGAAAGCGUGGGGAGCAAACAGGG
rnacentral:rRNA from 1 species